UCAAGCGACUAAGUGUAUGUGGUGGAUGCCUUGGCGAUUACAGGCGAUGAAGGACGUCGCAGCCUGCGAAAAGCCGUGGGGAGCUGGCAAGCGAGCACUGAUCCACGGAUGUCCGAAUGAGGGAACUCACCCGCAAGGGUAUCUUGAAGUGAAUACAUAGCUUCAAGAGGCGAACGCAGCGAACUGAAACAUCUAAGUAGCUGCAGGAAAAGAAAUCAACCGAGAUUCUGAAAGUAGCGGCGAGCGAAAUUGGAAGAGCCUGCAAGUGAUAUUGAAUUCGAUACUGGAACGGUCUGGAAAGUCCGGCUACAGAGGGUGACAGCCCCGUACGGGAAAUUGGGUUCAAGGUACUGAGCUUGCGAGAAGUAGAGCGGGACACGUGAAAUCCUGCUCGAAGAUGGGGGGACCAUCCUCCAAGGCUAAAUACUCGUAAUCGACCGAUAGCGAACCAGUACUGUGAAGGAAAGGCGAAAAGAACCCCGGGAGGGGAGUGAAAUAGAUCCUGAAACCGCAUACAUACAAACAGUAGGAGCCCGCAAGGGUGACUGCGUACCUUUUGCAUAAUGGGUCAGCGACUUACGUUCAAUGGCAAGCUUAACCGAGUAGGGGAGGCGCAGCGAAAGCGAGUCCGAACAGGGCGAUAUGAGUCGUUGGGCGUAGACCCGAAACCAGAUGAUCUAUCCAUGGCCAGGCUGAAGGUGUGGUAACACACACUGGAGGGCCGAACCGACUAGUGUUGCAAAAUUAGCGGAUGAGCUGUGGAUAGGGGUGAAAGGCUAAACAAAUCUGGAGAUAGCUGGUUCUCCCCGAAAACUAUUGAGGUAGUGCCUCGUGUAUGGCUCCAGGGGGUAGAGCACUGUUAUGGCUAGGGGGACAUGGCGUCUUACCAAACCAUGGCAAACUCCGAAUACUUGGAAGUCUGAGCACGGGAGACAGAGCACCGGGUGCUAACGUCCGGACUCAAAAGGGAAACAACCCAGACCGCCGGCUAAGGUCCCUAAUAUUGACUAAGUGGAAAACGAAGUGGGAAGGCUAAGACAGUCAGGAAGUUGGCUUAGAAGCAGCCAUCCUUCAAAGAAAGCGUAAUAGCUCACUGAUCGAGUCUUCCUGCGCGGAAGAUGUAACGGGGCUAAGUCAAUAACCGAAGCCGCGGAUUCGCAGCAAUGCGAGUGGUAGGGGAGCGUUCUGUAAGCCUGCGAAGGCGGAUCCGCGAGGACCGCUGGAGGUAUCAGAAGUGCGAAUGCUGACAUGAGUAACGUUAAAGCGGGUGAAAAGCCCGCUCGCCGCAAGCCCAAGGUUUCCUGCUCUACGUUCAUCGGAGCAGGGUGAGUCGGCCCCUAAGGUCAGGCUGAGAAGCGUAGCUGAUGGGAAGCUGGUUAAUAUUCCAGCACCGAUUUCAAGUGCGAAGGGGGGACGGAGUCCUGAAGGUCAUCCGGGUGUUGGAUAUCCCGGUUUACGAGCGUAGGAGGUUGACAGGCAAAUCCGUCAACGAAUCUCCAAGGCGAAGGAUCGAGGUUGAGAGAUCAACUGAAGUGACUGAAUGGGCUUCCAGGAAAAGCCUCUAAGCAUCAGCUUGGAAUUGACCGUACCGCAAACCGACACUGGUGGGCGAGCUGAAUAUGCUCAGGCGCUUGAGAGAACUCAGGAGAAGGAACUCGGCAAAUUGACACCGUAACUUCGGGAUAAGGUGUGCCUUUGUAGUGUGAAGAGAGAAACACUCCGAGCAUGAAGAGGCCUCAGAGAAUCGGUGGCUGCAACUGUUUACUAAAAACACAGCACUCUGCAAAGAUGAAAGUCGACGUAUAGGGUGUGAUGCCUGCCCGGUGCUGGAAGAUUAAUUGAUGGGGUGCAAGCUCCUGAUCGAAGUCCCAGUAAACGGCGGCCGUAACUAUAACGGUCCUAAGGUAGCGAAAUUCCUUGUC
rnacentral:rRNA from 1 species